rnacentral:rRNA from 1 species
UUUUGACCUCAGGUCAAUUA